CCAAUUUUUCCAUUUCUCUUAAUCUUUUUAGUCCUAAUCCCUAAUCUUGAUACAUUUGUAGCCUUAAAACCUAUUCAGCUAGAAGCCACUUAAAUUCAAUCCAACAUCACUCUAACAUUCAUUGAUUUUGCAAUCUUUCUGUAAAUAAUCUUUAAAUUUCUUCCAAUCUUCUUCCACCGACUCUUCUCCCUGGUCACGGAUUCUGCCAGUCAUUUCCGCCAAUUCCAUAUAGUCCAUCAUUUUCAUCUGCCAUUCCUCCAGUGUGGGUAGCUCUUGUGUCUUCCGCUGGUCCCUUAUUUUCGAGGCUGCUGGUCCCUUAUUUUCAAAUCUGUAAGUUGACAGCUAUGGAGGGAAGAUUUAUUCUGCCCUGCAGUUUGGCAGCACUUAGAUACAGUGGUACCUUGGUUUACAACCAUAAUCCGUUCCGGAGGUCCGGUUGUAAACCAAAACAGGUUGUAACCCAAGGCUCUCUUUCGCCAAUGGAGCGUCCAAAAAAAUGGGUUGUAAUCCCAAAAAAGGGACACGCACUUCCGGGUCUGACGUGGUUGUAAUCCAAAACACUUGCAAAGCAAGGUAUCACUGUACCUUUGGCCAAUUCCUUGGUCCUCGUUCCUUCUCCAUGAAUUUGGCUGACCCUUUUUAAAGGCGUCUGAAGGUCACAGCGUUGCAUUCAGAGAGAAAGUAUACCUAGCACUGUGCUAGUUUGGUUUGGCAAUGUUCAGUGACUUAGUUCAGAAAUCUCUGAGCUACACCUGGAAGCAGUUCCCAGAAUUUCUAGGUGAACAGAAUGUGAAUUAAGUUCAUUUUGGGGUAUAAUCUGGAACGAUUUCGAGGUCAUCUUCAAGUUUAUUCUUUUACAUGUGUUGUUGAGUUUUGUUUUGUUUUGUUUUGUUUUCUACUCUUUAGACUCUUUGAGCCUUUAAGCUUAAAGAUCAUAAUCGCCGGGGGAAAUAAAUUAAACCAUCC